CUAGAUGCCACUAAAGAUGGACUCUUCUCCAGGCUUCGUGACAGUGAUACUCUUCAUACUUGCAAGGACCAAUGGAGACUCGGUGACACAAACAGAAGGCCAAGUGACACUCUCUGAAGGGUCGUCUCUGACUGUGAACUGCUCCUAUGAAACCAAACAGUACCCAGCCCUACUCUGGUACGUGCAGUAUCCUGGAGAAGGUCCACAGCUCCUCUUCAGAGUCUCAAAGGCCGAUGAGACGGGAAGCAGCAGAUGUUUUGAAGCUACAUAUGAUAGAGGAUCCACUUCCUUCCACUUGAAGAAAGAAUCUGUCCAGGAGUCAGACUCGGCUGUGUACUACUGUGCUCUGAGUGACACAGUGGCAGAAACCACAGGGGGAGCCGAACACAAACUCAGCACCAGGGGCCUGGCUGCUGAGCUUCUGCCUCUGGAAUCACUUUUGCUAGAGGCCAUGUUGAUGUACAUGGCCUGUUCUGCUACCAAGGCCAUACGGUAUGCACUGACCACUCUACAGCCAAGGCCUGUGUUAAUGGCUCUUGUCUGUGCUCUCACUACACGCCAAGUAGAUGUCUAUGGUCAUGAUUACUGUUGA